rnacentral:rRNA from 1 species
UUAAGUUAUUAAGGGCGCACGGUGGAUGCCUUGGCACUAGAAGCCGAUGAAGGACGUUACUAACGACGAUAUGCUUUGGGGAGCUGUAAGUAAGCUUUGAUCCAGAGAUUUCCGAAUGGGGAAACCCAGCAUGAGUUAUGUCAUGUUAUCGAUAUGUGAAUACAUAGCAUAUCAGAAGGCACACCCGGAGAACUGAAACAUCUUAGUACCCGGAGGAAGAGAAAGAAAAUUCGAUUCCCUUAGUAGCGGCGAGCGAAACGGGAAGAGCCCAAACCAACAAGCUUGCUUGUUGGGGUUGUAGGACACUCUAUACGGAGUUACAAAGGACGACAUUAGACGAAUCAUCUGGAAAGAUGAAUCAAAGAAGGUAAUAAUCCUGUAGUCGAAAAUGUUGUCUCUCUUGAGUGGAUCCUGAGUACGACGGAGCACGUGAAAUUCCGUCGGAAUCUGGGAGGACCAUCUCCUAAGGCUAAAUACUCUCUAGUGACCGAUAGUGAACCAGUACCGUGAGGGAAAGGUGAAAAGCACCCCGGAAGGGGAGUGAAAUAGAACCUGAAACCGUGUGCUUACAAGUAGUCAGAGCCCGUUAAUGGGUGAUGGCGUGCCUUUUGUAGAAUGAACCGGCGAGUUACGAUUUGAUGCAAGGUUAAGCAGUAAAUGUGGAGCCGUAGCGAAAGCGAGUCUGAAUAGGGCGUUUAGUAUUUGGUCGUAGACCCGAAACCAGGUGAUCUACCCUUGGUCAGGUUGAAGUUCAGGUAACACUGAAUGGAGGACCGAACCGACUUACGUUGAAAAGUGAGCGGAUGAACUGAGGGUAGCGGAGAAAUUCCAAUCGAACCUGGAGAUAGCUGGUUCUCUCCGAAAUAGCUUUAGGGCUAGCCUCAAGUGAUGAUUAUUGGAGGUAGAGCACUGUUUGGACGAGGGGCCCCUCUCGGGUUACCGAAUUCAGACAAACUCCGAAUGCCAAUUAAUUUAACUUGGGAGUCAGAACAUGGGUGAUAAGGUCCGUGUUCGAAAGGGAAACAGCCCAGACCACCAGCUAAGGUCCCAAAAUAUAUGUUAAGUGGAAAAGGAUGUGGCGUUGCCCAGACAACUAGGAUGUUGGCUUAGAAGCAGCCAUCAUUUAAAGAGUGCGUAAUAGCUCACUAGUCGAGUGACACUGCGCCGAAAAUGUACCGGGGCUAAACAUAUUACCGAAGCUGUGGAUUGUCCUUUGGACAAUGGUAGGAGAGCGUUCUAAGGGCGUUGAAGCAUGAUCGUAAGGACAUGUGGAGCGCUUAGAAGUGAGAAUGCCGGUGUGAGUAGCGAAAGACGGGUGAGAAUCCCGUCCACCGAUUGACUAAGGUUUCCAGAGGAAGGCUCGUCCGCUCUGGGUUAGUCGGGUCCUAAGCUGAGGCCGACAGGCGUAGGCGAUGGAUAACAGGUUGAUAUUCCUGUACCACCUAUAAUCGUUUUAAUCGAUGGGGGGACGCAGUAGGAUAGGCGAAGCGUGCGAUUGGAUUGCACGUCUAAGCAGUAAGGCUGAGUAUUAGGCAAAUCCGGUACUCAUUAAGGCUGAGCUGUGAUGGGGAGAAGACAUUGUGUCUUCGAGUCGUUGAUUUCACACUGCCGAGAAAAGCCUCUAGAUAGAAAAUAGGUGCCCGUACCGCAAACCGACACAGGUAGUCAAGAUGAGAAUUCUAAGGUGAGCGAGCGAACUCUCGUUAAGGAACUCGGCAAAAUGACCCCGUAACUUCGGGAGAAGGGGUGCUCUUUAGGGUUAACGCCCAGAAGAGCCGCAGUGAAUAGGCCCAAGCGACUGUUUAUCAAAAACACAGGUCUCUGCUAAACCGUAAGGUGAUGUAUAGGGGCUGACGCCUGCCCGGUGCUGGAAGGUUAAGAGGAGUGGUUAGCUUCUGCGAAGCUACGAAUCGAAGCCCCAGUAAACGGCGGCCGUAACUAUAACGGUCCUAAGGUAGCGAAAUUCCUUGUCGGGUAAGUUCCGACCCGCACGAAAGGCGUAACGAUUUGGGCACUGUCUCAACGAGAGACUCGGUGAAAUCAUAGUACCUGUGAAGAUGCAGGUUACCCGCGACAGGACGGAAAGACCCCGUGGAGCUUUACUGUAGCCUGAUAUUGAAAUUCGGCACAGCUUGUACAGGAUAGGUAGGAGCCUUUGAAACGUGAGCGCUAGCUUACGUGGAGGCGCUGGUGGGAUACUACCCUAGCUGUGUUGGCUUUCUAACCCGCACCACUUAUCGUGGUGGGAGACAGUGUCAGGCGGGCAGUUUGACUGGGGCGGUCGCCUCCUAAAAGGUAACGGAGGCGCUCAAAGGUUCCCUCAGAAUGGUUGGAAAUCAUUCAUAGAGUGUAAAGGCAUAAGGGAGCUUGACUGCGAGACCUACAAGUCGAGCAGGGUCGAAAGACGGACU